GACGAACGCUGGCGGCGCGCUUAACACAUGCAAGUCGAGCGAGAACCAGGGCUUCGGCCCUGGGGACAGCGGCGAACGGGUGAGUAACACGUGGAUAACCUGCCCUCGGCACCGGGAUAGCCCGGGGAAACCCGGAUUAAUACCGGAUGGCCCUUCCGGCUCACGAGCCGGUCGGCAAAGGGAGCUUCGGCCUCCGGUCGAGGAUGGGCACGCGGCGGAUUAGCUUGUUGGUGGGGUAACGGCCCACCAAGGCUCCGAUCCGUAGCUGGUCUGAGAGGACGAUCAGCCACACUGGGACUGAGACACGGCCCAGACUCCUACGGGAGGCAGCAGUGGGGAAUCUUGCGCAAUGGGCGAAAGCCUGACGCAGCGACGCCGCGUGAGGGAGGAAGGCCUUCGGGUUGUAAACCUCUUUCAGGAGGGACGAAGCUACUCGGGUGAAUAGCUCAGAGGGUGACGGUACCUCCAGAAGAAGCCCCGGCUAACUACGUGCCAGCCGCCGCGGUAA
rnacentral:rRNA from 1 species